GGGAGUAAUAACAUUGGUGCUAGGGAGUGGGGUAAUAACAGGGCAUUGGUGCUAGGGAGUUGGGUAAUAACAGGGCAUUGGUGCUAGGGAGUGGGGUAAUAACAGGGCUUUGGUGCAAGGGAGCGGGGUAAUAGCAUUGGUGCUAGGGAGGGGGGUAAUAACAUUGGUGCUAGGGAUGGGGUAAUAACAUUGGUGCUAGGGAGUGGGGUAAUAACAUCGGUGCUAGGGAGUGGGGUAAUAAUAGGGCAUUGGUGCUAGGGAGUGGGGUAAUAACAUUUGUGCUAGGGAGUGGGGUAAUAACAUUUGUGCUAGGGAGUGGGGUAAUAACAGGGCUUUGGUGCUAGGGAGUGGGGUAAUAACAGGGCAUUGGU
ensembl:lncRNA